UAAAGAGAUGGCUUUGUUAAAGACAAUUCUCCUCCUUGCAUCAACUCAUUCUAAAAAGCUGAGAAAAGGAGAUAUAUUUCUGGCUGUUUUCAGAUCUACUAAGAAUAAUUAUUUGUCAGCAAGAGAGUAAUUUUUCAUUUUCCUGCUACCUUGGAGGCCUCAAAUCGAGACAAGAGGAAACAUCUCUAGGGCUGUGAUUUUGUACAUUUCAGUGGUGUUUGAGGGCUUUCCUUGCUAAUAUCAACUCUUUCAUUAUCUAGCAGAGCUGCCAAGUUAAGCGGUCACACGUGGUUUAAGAACAGAAGAAUCUCCCUUGCAAAGGACAGGCUGAUGCCUCUUCACAAGCCAGAGUCGAAGUCGAUACAUUUCUACUGACUCCACCCAAAAUUGCUUCUGACUCCAACUCCAUGACUCUGACUCCACAGCCCUGAUCAGCACCAAGCAAAGAUUGAUACCAUAAUAUAGUAAAGAAAAGUUGUCAGUUGUCGCCACUGAAACCACCCUAAAGGAACUUCAUGUAAGAUUACCCUAAUUUCUUCCUCAGAUAACAUCUUGCCAUCUUUGUAAAAAACCCUUAGCCUAUAAAGGCCUUUAGACUUCCAGCCUUUCCAUGGAAAUAAUCUUCAUUUAUUAAAAAAAAUUGUGGAUGAAAGAACAAAAGGCAUCAGUGGAGAGCGCCAUGAGGAAAUUGAUUUUACUCUGCAAGACCAACAUCGAUGUAAGGCUGCUAUAAAGGGAUUGUCCUAUA